AGAAUCAACGCUGGCGGCGUGCCUAACACAUGCAAGUCGCACGAGAAAGGGGCUUCGGCCCUGAGUAAAGUGGCGCACGGGUGAGUAACACGUGACUAAUCUACCCUCGAGUGGGGAAUAACCUAGAGAAAUCUGGGCUAAUACCGCAUAACACUUACGAGUCAAAGCAGCAAUGCGCUUGGGGAGGAGGUCGCGGCCGAUUAGUUAGUUGGCGGGGUAAUGGCCCACCAAGACGAUGAUCGGUAUCCGGCCUGAGAGGGCGCGACGGACGACGACUGGAACUGAAACACGGUCCAGACUCCUACGGGAGGCAGCAGUGGGGAAUUUUGCGCAAUGGGGGAAACCCUGACGCAGCAACGCCGCGUGGAGGAUGAAAUCCCUUGGGAUGUAAACUCCUUUCGAUUGGGAAGAUUAUGACGGUACCAAUAGAAGAAGCCCCGGCUAACUUCGUAGCCAGCAGCCGC
rnacentral:rRNA from 1 species